CGGCGUGCCUAAUACAUGCAAGUCGAACGGUCUUUCUAUGGAAGCUUGCUUCCACUGAGAAGAUAGUGGCGAACGGGUGAGUAACACGUGGGUAACCUGCCCAUAAGAGGGGGAUAACAUCCGGAAACGGGUGCUAAUACCGCUAUAGUUUUCUUGAUCGCAUGAUCGGGAAAGGAAAGACGGCCUUUGUGCUGUCGCUUAUGGAUGGACCCGCGGCGUAUUAGUUAGUUGGUGAGGUAACGGCUCACCAAGACGAUGAUACGUAGCCGACCUGAGAGGGUGAUCGGCCACAUUGGGACUGAGACACGGCCCAAACUCCUACGGGAGGCAGCAGUAGGGAAUCUUCCGCAAUGGACGAAAGUCUGACGGAGCAACGCCGCGUGAGUGAAGAAGGUUUUCGGGAAUCGUAAAACUCUGUUGUCAGAGAAGAACAAGUUGGAGAGUAACUGCUCCAGCCUUGACGGUAUCUGACCAGAAAGCCACGGCUAACUACGUGCCAGCAGCAGC
rnacentral:rRNA from 1 species